rnacentral:lncRNA from 1 species
UAAAUAUUUCUUUCUGGUUGGUUAGCCUAGAUACAAAAGAGAAAAGGAGAUAUGCACAUUCCUAAGUACUAUUAAGGAUAGAGAUAGGAAAGAGGCAUGUAUUGUAGUUGGUGAACAUAUCACUAUUUGUGGGAAGAUAUCAGAGCCCAACUUGGACGUCUCCAGAGGCAAUUUGAAUAAAAGAAGCCAAUGAAGACAACCUUUGAAGUAUCAGAAAGAUCCUGGGGAAAUUCCCUUGGUUAGUUACGAUAGAUAAAUUGUUUCAUAAAAUCUGGGCAUAUUUUAAAAACAAAGUCUUCAGCAAUAGACAUAGAGUAUUUUUGCAUCAAUUACCAAGUUUCAAAUCCACAGAGUUGUAUAAAUUAAGGUAAGGGGACAAUCUGGAAUAUUAACAGUAUAAAGUUUCUAAAAGAAGAUACUGGAAGAAUAUAGAAGUAAUUCUGGGAAGUCCUGGAAGGCACUCUCACAUGUAGAUCAGGCUUGAUUAAAUGUUGGUCUGAUGGGAGGAAAUUUCUGAAUGUAUACUACUUAAGGAGGUGAGAGUGUCAUCAUUUGUUCAAUUAACAGAUGCUUUUGGUUGGAAUAGAAUUUAUUGAAUAUGUAUAUAUUGCUAUGGAAAACUUGCAGCAGAAUCUGGGAGAAAAUUUUAGGAAAAACUAAUGUCAGAUACUAAAAGCGAAAAGGCAAAAAAAGAAAAAAAGGGCAAAUACAGCAGAAUGUUAGCCGUACUUGAUAAAGAGGUAAUGAUAGAAAGGGAACAGUUUAAAUUUUGAAAUCAUUUGAAAUUGAAAAGAAUAGUGAAAAGCAAAAGAAAGAAACAUGACUGGUGUAGCUAUUGAUAUAGGAAAAAAAAAAUGAUAGAAAAGGAUAUUUCUCCUCUCACUAAAGUAGUUUUAGCUCCUGAAGGAUUGAAAAGUUAAAAGCCAAGGCAACUGUUUCCAAAGGGGUCUCUGUAGACUUCAUUCUUUCCACACCUUCUCCAAAUACCAUACAUAGUAAAAGAGAAGUUAAAUUAAAACACUUGCAGUAUAACCAGGAAACAGAAUAUUAUAAAUUCUAAUCUAUUAGUAAAAGGAGGAAUAAGCAACUGAGAUUAGAAUUGAUCCAGAGCCCACAUUUGAAUGUCAGUCUGUAGAGAGCUCUGGGGCAGUGAGGAUUGGUGUUGAAAUGCAGGGAAUGUUACUCAGGGUUCAUGUCCAAAAAUGGAGACCCCCACCCUGAGUGGAAACUACAAAGAGAGGUUCUUAGGCUUGUAAAUCACAACACAGGCAACAGAAACAAUGAGAAGGGGCUUAGAAAGGCAGUUUUGGGAAAAUGUCUUAGAGUUGUUAAAGGGUAGGGAUAAAUUGCAGCUUGUCUGGGUAGCUCUAAGCUUAUAUCCAGGGAAGCCUGGAAGUCUGCUAUUAACCUUUGCCCCAAGAAAGAAUGAAAUAGACUAGUUAUAAUGAGGUGUGUAAAGUAUAAAAUUGCCCUGGAGACAUGCUCUGCUAGCUUGUUAGCUACAUUGGUUAGUGAAAAUGUACAUAAAGAUUGAUAGUUUUACUGCUGGUUCGUUGAGUUAAUACACUAGUUUUAGCUCUGUGACCAGCAAGUAUAAAAGACUCCUCAGUAAACCUGUGUCUUGGUCCUGAUAUAACCACAGUGUCUUGUACAGAUAAACCAAAAAUGAAGCAUGUCCUGUGUGACUGAGGUAGAACCCCACAGGGCUGCACCUGUACAUCUGGGUCCUCUCCAUGAAUGCCUGAGUGUUCUCUCUCCUGCUGAAUGUGUCCUUUGCCUAUAUAAAGGCUUUAAAUGACUCUAUCCUGUGGCAUUCCAUGAGGAAGUUCAGUUACCUGAUACUUUGUGAUUUCUGCGUCAGUGAUUUCAUUUGGAAUCAGCAGCUGAUUUAAGGGGAGGAAAAUAAGCAACUGAUGAUGAGUAACCUACUAUAACAAAACAGAAUAAAAAAACACAAGCAAAAUACCCCCAUCAUCAAAUGAUGACUUAAUAUAUGGAAACUACCACUCCCUAUUGCAAUGAAACAGAGCCGUUGAUAUAACUUGAAAAUGCUCUCUGCUGCCCCUGCCUCACAAAAAGGAAUAUCCUCCCAGUCACUAUUCCAGGAAAGUAAAACAUGGAAAAAAGAAGAAAAUCAUCCAUUCUAUAAAAAACAAAAACUAAAAUAGGAAUCAAAAAAGUUUCAUAGAUGAAAGUACAUAAGACACAUGCACCUGUAUGUUCAUUGCUGCACUAUUCACAAUAGCCAAGACAUAGAAACAACCUAAAUGUCCAUUGACAAAUGAAUGGAUAAAGAAGAUGUGGUAUAUACACACAAUGGAGUACUACUCAGCAUUAAAAAAAAGAACAAAAUAAUGCCAUUUGCAGCAACAGGGAUGGAAUUAGACUCUCACACGAAGUGAAGUAAGUCAGAAAGAGAAAGACAUACCAUAUGAGAUCACUUAUAUCUGGAAUCAAAUAUAUGGCGCAAAUAAAACUUUCCGCAAAAAAGAAACUCAUGGAUUUAGAGAACAGACUUGUCAUUGCCAAGGAGGAGGGGGAGGGAGUGGAAUGGGCUGGGAAUCUAGGGUUAAUAGAUGCAAACUAUUGCCUUGGGAAUGGAUAAGCAAUGAGGUCCUGCUGUAUAGCACUGGGAACUAUAUCUAGUUAUUUAUAAUGGAGCACGAUGGAGGAUAAUGUGAGAAAAAGAAUGUAUAUAUGCAUGUGUGACUAGGUCACUUUGCUGUAUAGUAGAAAAUUGACAGAACACUGUAAACCAACUAUAAUGGAAAAAUUAAAAAUAAAGAAAAAAAGUUACAAAACCUUUCUGUAAGUACGGUUCCUGCCACAAUUUAAAAUAGCAAAAUGAGAAAUUGUAGAUGUGAAGAACAUUAAAAAAUAGACAUCACAAACUUUGAAAAAAAGACCAGUAAUGAGAGACAGGUAAGAGAUGAUGUUAAAUGUGAAAUGACAAAACUUGAAAAUAAUUCAAAAUUAAUUUAUAAAUUAAGAAUAAAUUAUAAUUUACCCCAAAUAAAAUAUAAACUACUUAAAAGUACAGUAAAUAAUAUAGACAAGAUAAGAAUGAGGAAAAAAAAAUAACAGGUAAUAAAACUGGGAGAAAAACAUAGAAUUCAGGAAGAAAAAGAGGAUCAAAUGUAAAAACCAUUAAAGAAAAUCCACUGUACAUGUAACAGAAGU